rnacentral:rRNA from 1 species
AUGCAGAAGUAUAGAAGGGAAAGAUUUAUCGGUAAGAGAUCAGCUUGUACAGUAUCAGUUAGUUGGUGGGGUAAUGGCUUACCAAGACUAUGACGCUUAACUGGUUUGAGAGGAUGAUCAGUCACACUGGAACUGAGACACGGUCCAGACUCCUACGGGAGGCAGCAGUGGGGAAUAUUGCACAAUGGACGAAAGUCUGAUGCAGCAACGCCGCGUGGAGGAUGACACAUUUCGGUGCGUAAACUCCUUUUAUAUGAGAAGAUAAUGACGGUAUCAUAUGAAUAAGCACCGGCUAACUCCGUGCCAGCAGCCGCGGUAAUACGGGGGGUGCAAGCGUUACUCGGAAUCACUGGGCGUAAAGAGCAUGUAGGCGGAUUGAUAAGUUUGAAGUGAAAUCCUAUAGCUUAACUAUAGAACUGCUUUGAAAACUGUUAAUCUAGAAUGUGGGAGAGGUAGAUGGAAUUUCUGGUGUAGGGGUAAAAUCCGUAGAGAUCAGAAGGAAUACCGAUUGCGAAGGCGAUCUACUGGAACACUAUUGACGCUGAGAUGCGAAAGCGUGGGGAGCAAACGGGAUUAGAUACCCCGGUAGUCCACGCCCUAAACGAUGCACACUAGUUGUUGUGAGGCUAGACCUUGCAGUAAUGCAGUUAACAC